AUGCCCGUUUUCACCAACAACCUCUUACCGUUUCCCUAUCUAAAUGCUACUUUUAGUAAGGAUCCCUCCCAAUUUGACACCUACCUAAAUUCAUUUUCACCACACUUGUACAUGGAUCCCUUAAGUAAGUGACAGAUUACUAGUUCUACAAACGAUAAUGCAAAGUCGAUAUUUUAUCGAUAAAAUGAUUUUUCUGUACUUCUUAAGAAAUAAACGUCUAUCGAGUAUAUAUUACUAAAGCCUAUAAGUUUAUUUUGGCAGAGAAGAGAAAACGAGGAUAAACCUUUCUUGCAGAAGAAAAAGACAAGCUAGUGAAAUUGCUGACGUCUCAUAGAGACACAAUAUUAAACAAAAAACGGAUGGGACCACGAACGAAGCCAAAAACAAAGCUUGGAUCCAGUCACAAAUAGUUUUAAUGCGACAGGAACCCUUUACAGGUAAAUGUGAAUAAUAUCUGUGUAUAAUAAUAUAGUGUAUUAAGAUAUUGCCGUACAACUGUGUUCCUUGUUUUACUGUCGGCUUCAUUGUAUUUUUGUUCUCCAUGAGUUGAUGGAUUUAAGUAUGGGGUUAAAAUUAUAUAUUUAUUUAGUUUCAGGUGGUGCGAGAAAUUGGAAAGACGUGUAAAAACAUGCUGCGCCCAGCCCACCUCAAAUUGAAUUGGUGCAGGAGGAUGAUGAUAAUGUUUGGUACAUCAUAUGAGGACUAAUAUUAAAAUAUUUGUUUAC
rnacentral:lncRNA from 1 species